rnacentral:rRNA from 1 species
UACGUAGGUCCCGAGCGUUAUCCGGAUUUAUUGGGUUUAAAGGGAGCGUAGGUGGAUUGUUAAGUCAGUUGUGAAAGUUUGCGGCUCAACCGUAAAAUUGCAGUUGAAACUGGCAGUCUUGAGUACAGUAGAGGUGGGCGGAAUUCGUGGUGUAGCGGUGAAAUGCUUAGAUAUCACGAAGAACUCCGAUUGCGAAGGCAGCUCACUGGACUGCAACUGACACUGAGGCUCGAAAGUGUGGGUAUCAAACAGG